UAUAAAAUUUAGAUUCUAAAUACUUCAAAUAUUUUAAAUCAAUUUUAACGAAUCCGAUCACCGAUUCAGAAUUCCUAUAAUUUAAAACGAUUUACUAGGACGAAAGCCUCCGUUUUUCUAAAAAAACAUAGUAGCUGGACUCCAACAAUACUAUUAAAAAAGAAUAUGUCGUUUUAUCGAAGCAGCUCUAAUCGAACAGCACUAACUACGGAGGAACAGCUUUGACAUGGACAGAGUAUUAGCAUUGGGGCACAAUAAUAAGUGGUCCACCAAUCCCAUCACCCCACAUGGCACCGGUAUGGCGCCGGCCACAUGUCGCGACGUCCGCCGUCUGAUGGAGAUCAAAGGGCUACAAAGAGGCCUUGUGUAGGGCCAAUCAUAUGAGCUUCUCAAUUUGCCAAAGGAAAAAUUAUGAACUUUUGAUCUGCUGAACAUCUGGCUAUUGCUGGCUUCAAGCACAGGCAGAAAAGCACAGAAGUGGAGUCAAACAGGCUCUAGAACUAGGGUUUCUCGCUUUACGAGUCUGCGAGCUUGCCUUAUGUGAAACAGCAAAAAUUCUGAACUUUUGAUCUGUCGAACAUCUGGCUAGUGCUUCCGAAGCCAAUUGCCAAUAGAUAAAUAGAGUGGUAAAGGUUUUUUUGAAGUAGACAUUGACUCCUUGAAUUCUUUUACACUGUAGAGUGCUCUAGAGAUUCCCCACCCUCUACAGCACAACUCUCCAUCACCCCCUCCUUUCCAAUUGAUAGCUAUGAUAUUGUCAUCAAGGUAAAGAGGACAAGUAGGCUUGUUAUUAUCCAAACAAGGACUUUGUUAUAUUUUUCUUUUUCUUUUUUUUUUUUCCUUCCUUUUUCUUGUACUCGUUUGUUUUUUUGUCUUAGCUACUCUAGCUAGUGCAAUAUGAGGAAAUAUGUGUGUGUGUGUGUUUUUUUCUUUCCUCUAUCUUUGGUCAAUAAUUUGAGGGCCACUUUAAGAGCCUGUUCGACUUAGCUUCUGCUUCAAGGUAUAAACUAUAAUCACUUUUUGUAGAAUAUUUGACAGAUAAAAAGUUCUGAAACUGUCUGCUUCUA